AUUGAACGCUGGCGGCAGGCCUAACACAUGCAAGUCGAGCGAGCGGCGGACGGGUGAGUAAUGUAUGGGGAUCUGCCUGAUGGAGGGGGAUAACUACUGGAAACGGUAGCUAAUAACGCAUCCCUGCAGAUGAACCCAUAUGGGAUUAGCUUGUAGGUGAGGUCACGGGUCACCUAGGCGACGAUCCCUCGCUGGUCUGAGAGGAUGAUCAGCGACAACGGGAAUGAGACACGGCCCAGAAGCCUACGGGAGGCAGCAGGGGGGAAUAUUGCAAAAUGGGCGCAAGCCUGAUGCAGCCAUGCCGCAUGUAUGAAGAAGGCCUUCGGGGUGUAAAGUACUGUCAGUCGGGAGGCGGUACCGACAGAAGAAGCCCCGGCUAACUCCGUGCCAGCAGCCGCGGUAAUAC
rnacentral:rRNA from 1 species